GAAGAAGUGCUGGGAAAUAAUGGGUGGAAGGAAAGAAAGAAGUGGCUGGCCAGAAAAACAAGUGCAGGAGAGAAGGAGGAGAGGGCUUCUCCAGAAAGGAAGAAAAAGGAGGGGGCGAGACUAAUGUAAAUGGAGAGGGAGAAAGGUAUGCCACUGAGGCAGUAAAUUCCCAACAUGGCUCCAGGACAUGGAAAGGUAUGAAGCAUGUUCCAUUGACCUAGGCACAGCAGAUGAAAGUCUUUGGCCUUUGUCCCUGCAUUAAUGCGGCUUUCAUUAGAUGCUGAAGCAUUUAACUGUAGUGGUAAAAAUAGAAACUCUGGCAUGUAUUACCAUGCAAGAAUUCUACAGGAAGAGACAAUGCCAGAAAACUAGAGAAAGGUACAAAUGAAACCUACAAGUCAGUCUCCUGCACGAUCUGCAAAGCAGCUUAUGAAAGCUGGGGGAACCUUCCAGGACAGUGUCGGACAUAACAUGAGGAGCUUGAGUGGAAAGAGGAAACUGGGAAAGUCUGAGCAUUAUACACAGUAGCAGUUGGACCAAGCUGGAUCCUGGUUAUUAUAAUCCAGACCUUCAAAUGUAACUAUUAAAUCAAAAUUCAGUGUAAAUCCAAAAAAGUGUUAAAAAAUG